AGUGAACGCUGGCGGUAGGCCUAACACAUGCAAGUCGAACGGCAGCACAGUAAGAGCUUGCUCUUACGGGUGGCGAGUGGCGGACGGGUGAGGAAUACAUCGGAACCUACUUUUUCGUGGGGGAUAACGUAGGGAAACUUACGCUAGUACCGCAUACGACCUACGGGUGAAAGCAGGGGAUCUUCGCACCUUGCGCGAUUGAAUGAGCCGAUGUCGGAUUAGCUAGUUGGCGGGGUAAAGGCCCACCAAGGCGACGAUCCGUAGCCGGUCUGAGAGGAUGGUCAGCGACACUGGAACUGGGACACGGUCCAGACUCCUACGAGAGGCAGCAGUGGGGAAUAUUGGACAGUGGGCGCAAGCCUGAUCCAGCCAUACCGCGUGGGUGAAGAAGGCCUUCGGGUUGUAAAGCCCUUUUGUUGGGUGAGAAAAGCAGCAGGUUGAUACCCCGCUGUUCUGACGGUACCCGAUGAAUAAGCACCGGCUAACUUCGUG
rnacentral:rRNA from 1 species